UACGAAGGGGGGCUAGCGUUGCUCGGAAUCACUGGGCGUAAAGGGUGCGUAGGCGGGUCUUUUAAGUCAGGGGGUGAAAUCCUGGAGCUCAACUCCAGAACUGCCUUUGAUACUGAAGAUCUUGAGUUCGGGAGAGGUGAGUGGAACUGCGAGUGUAGAGGUGAAAUUCGUAGAUAUUCGCAAGAACACCAGUGGCGAAGGCAGCUUACUACCCGAAUAUUGACACUGAGGCACGAAAGCGUGGGGAUCAAACAGG
rnacentral:rRNA from 1 species